AAAUAUUAAUACUGGGGCUGGAACGUGUCGGUCUCACAGAUUCUGGAGCUGAGGAUCCCGACUCCGCUCUCAGUGCAAACCCCUCACUGACGGAGCUGUGGCUGGGAUGCAACUCCCUCACAGACCGAUCUGUCCCCGCUCUCCGCCGCCUCAUACUGAACCACCCGAGUCUGGAGCGGAUCCUGCUGGGGGCGAAUAAGUUCAGUGAAGAUGGAGAGAAGCAG